rnacentral:rRNA from 1 species
UUCUGUAAGCCUGCGAAGGUGGCCUGUGAGGGUUGCUGGAGGUAUCAGAAGUGCGAAUGCUGACAUAAGUAACGAUAAAGCGGGUGAAAAGCCCGCUCGCCGGAAGACCAAGGGUUCCUGUCCAACGUUAAUCGGGGCAGGGUGAGUCGACCCCUAAGGCGAGGCCGAAAGGCGUAGUCGAUGGGAAACGGGUUAAUAUUCCCGUACUUGGUGUUACUGCGAAGGGGGGACGGAGAAGGCUAUGUUGGCCGGGCGACGGUUGUCCCGGUUUAAGCGUGUAGGUGUGUGUUCCAGGUAAAUCCGGUUCACUUUAACACUGAGGCGUGACGACGAGGCACUACGGUGCUGAAGCAACAAAUGCCCUGCUUCCAGGAAAAGCCUCUAAGCAUCAGGUAACAUCAAAUCGUACCCCAAACCGACACAGGUGGUCAGGUAGAGAAUACCAAGGCGCUUGAGAGAACUCGGGUGAAGGAACUAGGCAAAAUGGUGCCGUAACUUCGGGAGAAGGCACGCUGACACGUAGGUGAAGUGAUUUACUCACGGAGCUGAAGUCAGUCGAAGAUACCAGCUGGCUGCAACUGUUUAUUAAAAACACAGCACUGUGCAAACACGAAAGUGGACGUAUACGGUGUGACGCCUGCCCGGUGCCGGAAGGUUAAUUGAUGGGGUCAGCGCAAGCGAAGCUCCUGAUCGAAGCCCCGGUAAACGGCGGCCGUAACUAUAACGGUCCUAAGGUAGCGAAAUUCCUUGUCGGGUAAGUUCCGACCUGCACGAAUGGCGUAAUGAUGGCCAGGCUGUCUCCACCCGAGACUCAGUGAAAUUGAACUCGCUGUGAAGAUGCAGUGUACCCGCGGCAAGACGGAAAGACCCCGUGAACCUUUACUAUAGCUUGACACUGAACAUUGAGCCUUGAUGUGUAGGAUAGGUGGGAGGCUUUGAAGCGUGGACGCCAGUCUGCGUGGAGCCGACCUUGAAAUACCACCCUUUAAUGUUUGAUGUUCUAACGUGGACCCGUGAUCCGGGUUGCGGACAGUGUCUGGUGGGUAGUUUGACUGGGGCGGUCUCCUCCUAAAGAGUAACGGAGGAGCACGAAGGUUGGCUAAUCCUGGUCGGACAUCAGGAGGUUAGUGCAAUGGCAUAAGCCAGCUUGACUGCGAGCGUGACGGCGCGAGCAGGUGCGAAAGCAGGUCAUAGUGAUCCGGUGGUUCUGAAUGGAAGGGCCAUCGCUCAACGGAUAAAAGGUACUCCGGGGAUAACAGGCUGAUACCGCCCAAGAGUUCAUAUCGACGGCGGUGUUUGGCACCUCGAUGUCGGCUCAUCACAUCCUGGGGCUGAAGUAGGUCCCAAGGGUAUGGCUGUUCGCCAUUUAAAGUGGUACGCGAGCUGGGUUUAGAACGUCGUGAGACAGUUCGGUCCCUAUCUGCCGUGGGCGCUGGAGAACUGAGGGGGGCUGCUCCUAGUACGAGAGGACCGGAGUGGACGCAUCACUGGUGUUCGGGUUGUCAUGCCAAUGGCACUGCCCGGUAGCUAAAUGCGGAAGAGAUAAGUGCUGAAAGCAUCUAAGCACGAAACUUGCCCCGAGAUGAGUUCUCCCUGAGACUUUAGGUCUCCUGAAGGAACGUUGAAGACGACGACGUUGAUAGGCCGGGUGUGUAAGCGCAGCGAUGCGUUGAGCUAACCGGUACUAAUGAACCGUGAGGCUUAACCUUACAACGCCGAAG